GAUUUAAAGGCACAGAUAUUGUCGACAUCAGGAUGGUUUACCGUGGUAUGGAAUGAUAGCCGAUUGGCCUGGACAAAAUCGUCUUAUGGAAAUGUUGAAUAUAUAUAUGUUCCCGAGGAAGUAGUUUGGCACCCCGAAUUGAUUGUGCAGAAUUCGGUUUUGGAAUUAAGAAAAAAUCUUGGUGCUGAAAAGACAGUCCGUAUAAAAUAUGAUGGUG